UGGCGGAUCCAGAGGGGGGCGUAGAGGGCGUACGCCCCCUCUUUGCUCGGACUUUCUUCUUUUUUUGUAAAAUAAUUAAUAAGACUAGACUUCGUCAGUGGCGGAUCCAGAGGGGGGCGUAGAGGGCGUACGCCCCCCCCCCCCCUUUGCUCGGACUUUCUUCUUUUUUUUGUAAAAUAAUUAAUAAGACUAGACUUCGUGAACUUUGCCAUUUCCCGUGUACUACUAUUUAUUUUUUAUGCGACAAUUCUUGACUUAUAAAUAAAGAUAUUUUUCGCUGGAAUUUACUGAUUAUCAAAGUCAUGUGAUUCGCUAUGGUGGAAUUGACCUGCAGUGUGUCGAAUAAAACAUCUCUCAGUCAUUUUGAAAUUCAAAUUACAGUAACACAUUGCGUAGGCUGAGGAUGACAAUCAUGACACCUUCAAAGCGACACAGGAUUUAGCAAGAACAUAUUGACUUCUAUUUCACUAUAAUAUUCCACCAAACAGAAAGUAAUGCUCUAUAUAUAGACUAUUACACUUUCAUGAAAAAAAAGUUCUACAGCAAUAUUAUCUAACUACGGAAACAUGUUUAACCCCAAACGCCCCAGCUUAUUUAAAAAAUAUAUCGCUGAAUAAUGAUCCCCAGUCAUUAUAAGCUCUAUGUGUAGAUUUAAGUCGUAAGUACGAACCAUUUGAAUUGAGGAGACAGUCUUAGAUAUUUGAGAGAAAAAAAAAAUGAUUGAUUUUUGCCUUAAACAAAAAUUUCCGGUCGUAUUUCAAAUUCAAUCGAAUAGCCCAGCGUAUAUCUUGUUUACAACAAGAAAUCUGUGAGCGGGUUAUUCUAACUUAACUUACAACAUACGUGCGAGAAUUUUCAAUGUCUAUGUUUUACUGACAAAUCCCACAUUAAAUGUAUCAGUACAUAGCUUUGGAUCCAUACUAUCAUUUUAUGAUAGACACUUAAUAGGAGAAUACAGCAUCGAAGAUGUCCAACCCUUACACCUUAUAACAGCAACUACAAAAUAUGUAUGCCCCACGCCAGGAACCGUUUAAAAAGUGCAUAUUUCACUUAUUUUAUGAUUUUAGUCCUAAAAAGGCCCAAAAAUUUGUUUGCCUCGCUCCGCUCGGCAAAACUAAAAAC
rnacentral:lncRNA from 1 species